CCGAAGUGGUAAACAUCUGAGACCUGCAUCACUUGGGGCUUUCCUCCCACAUCAAGCUGACUCGCCGCGACAUAACUGUAAUACUGUUAAAAGCGGCAUAAACCCAACUCACUCACUCACAUGGUGGAAACAUUAAGCCACACAAAGAUGAAUAUGUCAUUAUGUCCUGUUAUGAUUUUCAUUAUUUUCAGUUCAUGUUAAGUAUAAACCAUAAGAUUGUGACGUUCUAGGAUGUGAAAGUGAUGGUGUUCCCCUGUCCCCUAGUCCAGGGUUCUGUUCCACCAUGCGAUCUUAAUGCUGCGACUACCGUAGGCCUAGGUUCAAAUAUUGGAGUUACGAUCACCUUAGCGCUAAGAUGGGUCUGUAGAACGGGACCCGGGCUCUGAGUGGUCGAGUGUUUGUGUCAUGUCAGUGCUGAGACCCAGCGCUAGGUUCAAAUAUUGGAGUUACGUUCACCUUAGCGCUAAGAUGGGUCUGUAGAACGGUACCCGGGGUCUGAGUGGUCGAGUGUUUGUGUCAUGUCAGUGCUGAGACCCAACACUAGGUUCAAAUAUUGGAGUUACGUUCACCUUAGCGCUAAGAUGGGUCUGUAGAACGGUACCCGGGCUCUGAGUGGUCGAGUGUUUGUGUCAUGUCAGUGCUGAAACCCAGCACUAGGUUCAAAUAUGGGAGUUACGUUCACCUUAGCGCUAAGAUGAGUCUGUAGAACGGGACCUGGGCUCUGAGUGGUCGAGUGUUUGUGUCAUGUCAGUGCUGAGACCCAACACUAUAUGUGCAAUAAUUGAAGAAGUUGACUGAUAUUUUGUUUAAUUUGAAGGCUUAUUGAAAUCAAACUGACUUUUGUCAAAAUAUUCAUCUUUUUAGGGGGUAUUGUCGUCUGUUUGCUCCAUGAUAAGUGUGGAGGAUACAGCUCAUUUGAAUUCAAAUAUUUGAGAAGGGAGAUAACCCUUGUGAACAUUUCAUUUUGUAUUUUCGUCAGUUUCCUCCGUGAUCAAAAUGGAAGACACUGUUCAUGUUAAUUCAUGAAAGGGAGAUAACCCUUGCAAUCAUUCUCAUUCCAGGUUUCUUGUCUUGCAUCUGUGCUGAUCAUUCCUUUAUUCUAUUUCUAUAACAAAUGCUGAAUAUUUUUUCUCUGAUGAUACAAGAGAAACAUUCUACCACAACUCAUGUGCUGAGAAGUGGAUGUGGAUCUGGACUGUGCAACAGUUAACUUUGUGCAACUGUUAAAAUUGUGCAACUGUUAACUUUGUGCAACUGUUAAAAUUGUGCAACUGUUAACUUUGUGCAACUGUUAAAAUUGUGCAAUUGUUAACAUUAGCAACUGUUAACAUUGUGCAACUGUUAACUUUUGUGCAUCUGUUAACUUUUGUGCAACUGUUAACUUUGUGCAACUGUUAACUUUUGUGCAACUGUUAACUUUGUGCAACUCAACUUUGUGCAACUGUUAACAUUAUGCAACUGUUAACUUUUGUGAAACUGUUAACUUUUGCAACUGUUAACAUUAUGCAACUGUUAACUUUGUGCAACUGUUAACUUUUGUGCAACUCAACUUUGUGCCACUGUUAACUUUGUGCAACUGUUAACUUUGUGCAACUGUUAACUUUUGUGCAACUGUUAACUUUGUGCAACUGUUAACAUUAUGCAACUGUUAACUUUUGUGCAACUGUUAACUUUUGUGCAGCUGUUAACAUUGUGCAACUCCUAACUUUGUGCAACUGAUAGCUUCUUAUCUAAGCCACAAUCAUCACAAAGUAUCCAUUUCACAAAGAUAUCCCAGAGCAACAACUGCCUGAACUCUAUCCCGUACAGUCAAUUCAUCACACUCUGGGCUCUUACGUCUAUUUAUUCAACACUCACAUGACAACUAAUUAAUCCUCACAAGGGAAGAAACAUUAUCUUUAUGGUGUGUCCGAUUUGUCCCUGUGCUAGGGUUGCAUUGUUGAAUGGAGCUAAGUACGAUUAAUGUGUAUUUAAAAAAAAACUAUUUCUCAAUAUUCCUUCACUCGUACCGGUAUCUGACACCAUUAUACCAUGUGUUUGUGCCUUCAUAGUCCUUGACAUGCUCUCAACCUCUCACUGCAGUGGUGUGUCUGUGCCGAGACUCGAACCCACACACACCUCUGGCUUUGAAAGGGUUGAGUUACACUAAGUGUUGUCUCAGUGGUAGAGUAUCAGUAUUAGGAUGUCGAUCGUGCAAGUCUGUGAGGAGUUACCUCCCUUGGGCUGCUGGCAAUUUUGAAUAUAUGCUCAGUGAUUGUAAUAGUCUAUAGCAGUAAUUGGUAGCUUUUUCACUUGACAUUUGUACUUUGGUUUUGAAAUGCGGUGUUGCGUGUCUUUCAAAUGCAGCGAUGUCGAUAGUGAUGCUUUUGCCACAGUUUUGUCGCCUAGCUUCGGCAGAAGUCAACCCAACCCCCAAGUCAACCCAACCACCUUCUUCCUGUCCACCCUCACUUUUAGAACUAAGCUUGAAGCAACUGCUCCACAAACUGAUUAAACCAAAGUCAACGGGGCGACAAUCGGAAAUUUGAUCUAAUUUUGACUUGUUUUUAGGACUGUGUUACCUAUAACUGAGGAGUUAUCAUUUAAAUCAUCUGAAUAUCCACUAACCCCACAUUCAUCAUUGUAAAGAGGUAUUCCUGGGUUUAUGCUAAUAAUGUACAAAAAUAGCAUCCACUAGUCGUUGAGCAACGUGUACGUGUCUGAGUCCCCCCCAGGGGCGGUCGGGUAGCCUAGUGGUUAAAGCGUUCGCUCGCCACACCGACGACCCGGGUUCGAAUCCCGACAUGGGUACAAUGUGUGAAGCCCAUUUCUAGAUCCCCCGCCGUGAUAUUGCUGGAAUAUUGCUAAAAGCGGCGUUAAACCAAACUCACUCACUCACUGAGUCCUCCCCACAUCCUCACGGCUGGUUCAAGCUCAGUACUCCCUGAGGAAUUCAUGCUUGUCGGGCUGAUAUCUGAGGAUUAAACAUCUGAAGUUUUGUGUGUUCAGUAACUUUCCUUUUACUACAGAGGGAACAAGAUUAGAUGACUUGUUUUUUCAAAUUGGUAAAACAAAUACUACCAUUUUACAGUUAUGACACUGUUAACAUCUCAGCAGGGCUAUCGGCUAAAAAUAGAUUCAGCUGUGGUGGUUGAGAGAUGAAGAUCAGACUUUCGAAGUGCAUCGACAGUGACCGGCUAUUGGGUAUAGCAUCAUUGCAGCACGACAAUCACCACAUUUUCGUUCAGGCAAGAUGGUAGCCUUGCUGAGAGCAUGGGGAGACUCAUUUUUUUAAGUCAGUUAACUCUCUUGCCUCGGGAAGCGGGGGGAGACUGACUGCACAUCACAUGAAGCAGAGAGCAAGAGAUGAGGGUGGGUGGAUGUGGCAUCAUGUCAUUUCAGGAUCUUAAAAAAAAAAAUGAAAAAAAAAAUGUUCAAACUAUUUCCUCUCCCCACCCCCCC